GACAGAGGUGCCAAGCGUUAGGCGGAAUCACUGGGCUUAAAGCGUGUGUAGGCGGAUGCCUAAGUACCUUGUGAAAUCCCACGGCUCAACCGUGGAACUGCUUGGUAUACUGGGUGUCUUGAGCCAUCUAGGGGCUACCGGAACAAAUGGUGGAGCGGUGAAAUGCGUAGAUAUCAUUUGGAACGCCAAUGGUGAAAACAGGUAGCUGGGGAUGUGCUGACGCUGAGACACGAAAGCCAGGGGAGCAAACGGGG
rnacentral:rRNA from 1 species